UUUGGAAGGAAGAAGGAUGUUCUCUUGGAUCCAAGCACUCUACGCAAUGAUGGGAUGAUUGCUCUUUCAACAUAUUCUAUUAGCGAGGAUGGCAAGUGAAAGUGGGGGGAUUGGAUCACUAUUCCUAUCAUGCAUUGUAGACAUGAUGCAUUGAACAUAUGUCCGACAAAUUGUCCUUGCAGGAUUCGAUUCGGUACAACACCAUCACUGGUACAGACAACAAGGGGCUCGUCGUGCUAGGCACCUCGGCGCUGCUUCCGUGCAACGGCGGCAGCGGAAACAGCCACAGUGAGCUCCCCUCCUUGCCUCCGUUGGUUGCUCUGAGCUUGUCGUGGCCAUUGUGUGAUGGCUAUGUCUGGUUAGUCUGCUACAGUCCAUCCUUGCAUAAUGAUGGCGCUACUGUUUGUUUUCUUGUUCGUUUAUCUAGUUGCGGGAUGUAUCUAGUUUCCCAUCACAGAUGGAGCGUUGUUUGUUUCGGGAUGUAGUAUCACCACUUAAUUUUCCCCCCUGUCUGCUUCCUUCAUGAAAUUCUGACUUUGUAUAUGUGCUCAGUGUGCCAUCCAUGAUAUGCACUUGCAUCCUCAACUCAUGUUUGUCUUGUUUUAUUUCCA